UACGUAGGUGGCAAGCGUUGUCCGGAUUACUGGGCGUAAAGAGCGCGCAGGCGGUCGUUCAAGUCGCGUGUGAAAGCCCCCGGCUCAACUGGGGAGGGUCACGCGAUACUGAUCGACUCGAAGGCAGGAGAGGGAAGUGGAAUUCCCGGUGUAGUGGUGAAAUGCGUAGAUAUUGGGAAGGAACACCGGUGGCGAAGGCGGCGCUCUGGACCGAGACUGACGCGUGAG
rnacentral:rRNA from 1 species